rnacentral:rRNA from 1 species
AACGUAGGAGGCAAACGUUAUCCGGAGUUACUGGGCGUAAAGGGCGUGUAGGUGGUUUCGUAAGUCUGGCGUGAAAUAUCUCGGCUUAACCGAGGCAGGUCGUCGGAUACUGCGGAACUAGAGGACGGUAGAGGCGUGUGGAAUUCCGGGUGUAGUGGUGAAAUGCGUAGAGAUCCGGAGGAACACCAGUGGCGAAGGCGACACGCUGGGCCGUACCUGACACUGAUGCGCGACAGCAUGGGGAGCAAACAGG